rnacentral:rRNA from 1 species
GACGAACGCUGGCGGCGUGCUUAACACAUGCAAGUCGAACGGUGAUGCUCCAGCUUGCUGGAGUGGAUCAGUGGCGAACGGGUGAGUAACACGUGAGCAACCUGCCCCAGACUCUGGAAUAAGCGCUGGAAAUGGCGUCUAAUACUGGAUACGAAACUGGCCCGCAUGGGCAUGGUUUGGAAAGUUUUUCGGUUUGGGAUGGGCUCGCGGCCUAUCAGCUUGUUGGUGAGGUAAUGGCUCACCAAGGCGACGACGGGUAGCCGGCCUGAGAGGGCGACCGGCCACACUGGGACUGAGACACGGCCCAGACUCCUACGGGAGGCAGCAGUGGGGAAUAUUGCACAAUGGGCGAAAGCCUGAUGCAGCGACGCCGCGUGAGGGAUGACGGCCUUCGGGUUGUAAACCUCUUUCAGCAGGGAAGAAGCGAAAGUGACGGUACCUGCAGAAGAAGCACCGGCUAACUACGUG